CUGCAACAUUUUAUCAGAGUGAGGGGAGCAGUGGGUGAUGCUGAAAAAACGAGCCAGACGGAAGUGUAUAAACAAACAAUAUUUUAAUAACAGGAACCGAGGGGAGACUGCGUCUCCUGCGGUCACUUGUGUUUGACAGCCAGGUCAGGACGGCCUGACACGACCUACAUCUACAGGCAGAGCAGCCAGCAGGUUAGCAACAGUCACCCGGCAGGUUAACAACAGUCACCUAGCAGGUUAACAACAGUCACCCGGCAGGUUAGCAACAGACACCCGGCAGCUUAGCAACAGUCACCCGGCAGCUUAGCAACAGUCACCCGGCAGCUAAGCAACAGUCACCCGGCAGUUUAGCAACCGUCACCCGGCAGGUUAGCAACAGUCACCCGGCAGCUUAACAAGUCACCUAGCAGGUUAGCAACAGACACCCGGCAGCUUAAAAACAGUCAUCCGGCUGCUUAGCAACAGUCACCCGGGAGUCUAGCAACAGUCCCCCAGCAGUUUAGCAACAGUCACCCAGCAGUUUAGCAGCAGUCACCAGGCUGUUUAGCAACAGUCAACCACCAGCUUAUUAUUGUCACCUAGCACCCCGCCGGACUGGGACCAGGGGGGCGAGCCCUACUGGCGGGACGGGUUCUGCCGUCAGAUCUUCGAGACGGCGGUCAGCAGGGAACCCGCUAGAACCACGGCAGAGGCCAGGGCGAGGACCAGGAUGUUGGCUGGACCCUGUGGGGAGGAGGGGGGAGGAGGUCAGAUCCAGGCUACAGGGUGACUAUCAGCACUUCAUCCACACUGGGUCCCGGUCUGGCCUGGGUCAG
ensembl:lncRNA